UGCGGGAUAGUGUAAUGGUAGCACAGCAGACUCUGGAUCUGUUAAUCUAGGUUCAAAUCCUAGUCCCGCAG
rnacentral:tRNA from 1 species